CUAAGUUUGAUGGCGACCGGCGCACGGGUGAGUAACACGUAUCCAACCUGCCCUUGACUCGGGGAUAGCCUUUCGAAAGAAAGAUUAAUACCCGAUGGCAUAGUUCUUCCGCAUGGUAGAACUAUUAAAGAAUUUCGGUCAUCGAUGGGGAUGCGUUCCAUUAGGUUGUUGGCGGGGUAACGGCUCACCAAGCCUUCGAUGGAUAGGGGUUCUGAGAGGAAGGUCCCCCACAUUGGAACUGAGACACGGUCCAAACUCCUACGGGAGGCAGCAUG
rnacentral:rRNA from 1 species